rnacentral:pre_miRNA from 1 species
GAUUUCAACUGAAAAAGUUAUCAACAACAAAGUGGUAUAACUCAUCAAGAUCUAUAACUUUUAUUUGGGUCAUUUUUUCAUCCAACAAAGUGAUUUGUAACAUUAUUCACAAAAUGUACAUAUCUCUUAUAUAGUUUAUAAACUAUAAGAGAGAUAUAUAAACUUUAUAAAUAAUGUUACUAUUACUUUGUCGGAUGAAGAAAUGACCAAAAUAAAAGUUAUAGAUAUUGAUGAGUUAUACAACUUUAUUGUUGAUGACUUUUUAGUUGAAAUC